AGUUAGAGAGGAGGAGGAGAGGAUUAAAGCUCAGUCAGAGAGGAGGAGGAGGAGGAGGAGGAGAAGAAGAGUAAAGCUCAGUCAGAGAGGAGGAGAAGAAGAGUAAAGCUCAGUCAGAGAGGAGGAGGAGGAGAAGAAGAGUAAAGCUCAGUCAGAGAGGAGGAGGAGGAGGAGGAGGAGAAGAAGAGUAAAGCUCAGUCAGAGAGGAGGAGGAGAAGAGUAAAGCUCAGUCAGAGAGGAGGAGGAGGAGAGGAUUAAAGCUCAGUCAGAGAGGAGGAGGAGAGGAGGGGCACGGCACACAAAAGGAAGUGUUCAGCUCAAAAUGAAAGGAAAUAGAAUCUAAUAUUUCCAUGUUUCAACUUCUCCGGGUUUGACUGUCUAUAAAAUGUGUAUUCUGUACAAAGAAAGAAAGGAAGGAUGAUGGUGGAGGGGGAGAACCAGAGAGGGGAGACCCUCAUACCCAGCGAGGGAGAGGGGUCUGGUGGACAGGAGGCCAUCCACAUGAAGGAGUCCGUUGUCGAGGACAACACAGAACCCGAUGAGGGUUCACGGAAGCCAACCACAGGACCAGUGGUUGUCACGGGAAACCAGAAAAUGCCCGCCAUCGAGAAACUGGAACAGGUUCGCAAAUGGAGCAUCACUACUUAUAAGUGUACUAAGCAGGUUCUGUCAGAGAAGAUGGGUCGUGGAUCCCGUACGGUCGACCCAGAACUCGAGGCCCGCAUCGACAUUCUCCGUGAUGACCGCCGCCGUUAUGAUCACGUGACCUGCCUGGCCCAGACACUCGCCACGCAGCUCGCCCAGGUCACACAGACGCAAAGGACUCUGGGCGAUGCCUUCACCGAGCUCAGCCUCAAAACGCCGCCACUACACGUAGAGUUUGGUCUGAACGGGGACACCCAGCGGUUCCUGUCGAAGAGCGGAGAGGUCAUGGUCUCGGCUGUGAACUCUUUCACCUCCGAUAUGAACACACUGGUGAACAAAACUAUAGAGGACACCAUGGUUAACGUGAAACACUACGAGACAGCCAGGAUAGAGUACGAUGCGUACCGUUGUGACCUGGAGGACUUGAACCUGGGACCUCGAGACACCGCCACCCUCCCCAAACUAGAGCAGGCCCAGAGAACCUUCCAGAACCAGAGAGAGAAGUAUGAGAAGAGCCGAAACGACCUGUCAGUCAAACUCAAACUACUGGAGGAGAAUAAGGUAAAGGUUCUCCAGCAUCAGUUGGUAUUGUUCCAUGGUGCUGUAGCCUCCAACAGCACCUCCAACCACCAGCACCUGGAGCUCAGCCUGCAGCAGGCAAGCACCAAGCUACCCAUGCCUGGCACGGAGCCUCCUUCCUGGCUAGAGGAGAGCUCAUCACCCCAAUAACCAUCCACCAUGUCUGGGGGCCCAUGAAACCUUCCAGUAUCUUAAUGCAAGUUGGGGCCUCUCAACUGCCACAUCUGUGGGCCAAAACAGAGGGUAUUGUCGACAUUCCUGUUCUCUUAUCCUAUAGGGCCUAUAGGUUCUCCUCUUACCCUAUAGGUUCUCCUCUUACCCUAUAGGUUAUUCUCUUACCCUAUAGGUUCUCCUCUUACCCAAUAGAUCCUAUAGGUUCUCCUCUUACCCUAUAGGUUCUCCUCUUACCCUAUAGGACCUAUAGGUUCUCCUCUUACCCUAUAGGUCCUAUAGGUUCUCCUCUUACUCUAUAGGUCCUAUAGGUUCUCCUCUUACCCUAUAGGUCCUAUAGGUUCUCCUCUUACCCUACAGAUUCUCCUCUUACCCUAUAGAUCCUAUAGGUUAUUCUCUUACCCUAUAGGUUCUCCUCUUACCCAAUAGAUCCUAUAGGUUAUUCUCUUACCCUAUAGGUUAUUCUCUUACCCUAUAGGUUCUCCUCUUACCCUAUAGGUUCUCCUCUUACCCUAUAGGUCCUCCUCUUACCCUAUAGGUCCUCCUCUUACCCUAUAUGUCCUAUAGGUUCUCCUCUUACCCUAUAGGUUAUUCUCUUACCCUAUAGGUUCUCCUCUUACCCAAUAGAUCCUAUAGGUUCUCCUCUUACCCUAUAGGUUCUCCUCUUACCCUAUAGGUUCUCCUCUUACCCUAUAGGUUCUCCUCUUACCCUAUAGGACCUAUAGGUUCUCCUCUUACUCUAUAGGUCCUAUAGGUUCUCCUCUUACCCUAUAGGUCCUAUAGGUUCUCCUCUUGUCCUAUAGGUUCUCCUCUUACCCUAUAGGUCCUAUAGGUUCUCCUCUUACCCUAUAGGUCCUAUAGGUUCUCCUCUUACCCUAUAGGUUCUCCUCUUACCCUAUAGGUUCUCCUCUUACCCUAUAGGUCCUAUAGGUUCUCCUCUUACCCUAUAGGUUCUCCUCUUACCCUACAGAUUCUCCUCUUACCCUAUAGAUCCUAUAGGUUAUUCUCUUACCCUAUAGGUGACCUGACAAUAGACUGUUGUUCACUCUGUUUCUGCUACUUGUAUACAGUGGUGUGACCUGACUAUAGACUGUUGUUCACUCUGUUUCUCCUAUUCACUGACUGUAUAGGAGUUCUGUUUGGCAGUAGCAUUGUUACUAUCACAGCAUUUGUGUUAUUAUUAUGUAUACAGUAUGUACAGUUCUCCUGUAUUGACUAAUGCUGUGUCCAAAAUGUCACCCUGUUCCCUACGUCGUUCACUACCUUUGGAGCUCUAUAAAGGGAAGUGCGUAGCAUGUGGGGACGCAGCCUACAACUAAAGGACCAAACUAACAUGCAGUGCUGAGAUAUGGAACCAAAGCCAGAGACUGUAGAAUGUUUGAGACCGUUAGAACCUUUUACACUCUAGAACCUUCUUGGACUUUAUAAGGAUCUUUUAGAUUCCUACCAGAAUCAACUGAGCAAAAAUGUACAAAAUACGCACAAAACAAUUUCAAAGAUUUUACCGAGUUGCAAUUCAUAUAAAGGAAAUCAGUCGACGUAAAUCAAUUCAUUAGGUCCCUAAUCUAUGGAUUUCACAUGACUGUACAGGGGUGCAGCCGUGGAGGGCAUAGGCCCACAGAAAUACUCCCCCCUCCCCGAUCCUACAGGUGAUGUAGCCAGAUGUGAGGUCCUGGGUUGUCGUGGUUACAUGUGGUCUGCAGUUGUGAGGCCGGUUGGACGUACUGCCAGAUUCUCUAAAACAACAUUGGAGGUGGCUUAUAGUAGAGAAAUGAACAUUCAAUUAUCUGGCAACAACUAUGGUGGACAUUCCUGCUAUCAACAUGCCAAUUACACUCUCCCUCAACUUGAGACAUCUGUAGCAUUUUAGUGGCCUUUUAGUGUCCCCGGCACAAGGUGCACCUAUGUACUGAUCAUGCUGUUUUUAAUCAGAUUCUUGAUUAUGCCACACCUGUCAGGUGGAUGGAUUAUCUUGACAAAGGAGAAAAUACUCACUAACAGGGAUGUCAACACAUUGGUGCACAACAUUUGGGAGAAAUAAGCUUAUUGUGUGUACGGAACAACAGCUCAUGAAAACUUGGGACCAACACUUUUUUCCGUUUUUGUGUUUUGUAUUUUUGUUCGGUGUAAUUCCAAACGCAUCUUUUGCACUUGUCUAUCUACCAAAAAUAACAAUUGUGUAUAAUUGAAUAUAAACGCAAUUUAAUGCCAAAUAUCGAGAUCAACAUUUAUUCUUUGUGUAUAACGUACGUGUUUUUGAUUCUUUUAAAAUAGGAAAUUCAAAAAGCACUCGCACAUCUUCGUUAUCUUCGUUGCAGGUGCAUGAUAACGGUUGAAUAAAACGAGACAAAAAAGGAGAAGCCUACACACUGCUCCUUUAAGCGUUGCAAAUCGACCUCCCGUCCAAUCAGAGGCUGAUACAUAAAGCUUAUUACAGAGCAGUGAGCGGGUUUCACAAUUAUUCUUUUUUUCUCAAAUCUUAAAAUAGGGAAAGCACUUGCGCAUCGGAGUGGGCUUGUUGCAGGUGCGUGGGAAUCAUUUGUGGUGAUCUUAAAGAAAAUGACUUGCACACACUGCUCUUGCCAGUGUUACUUAGAUUUGUUAAGCUUUUAGGUAUUGACCUGUUGGCUUUCCUCAGAGCUUUUGGUGUGCUUCUGAAUCUUGCCCAUUAAAAUGUUUGUGAACAUUU